rnacentral:lncRNA from 1 species
CAAGAGGAUUCUCACAGACUCACUGCUGCAGGGCUUUAAAAUCUCAGCCUCAUCUAUUGAACACUAGCCCAGCUAUGCAUGGAAGGAGUGAAGAGGAUGCUGCUGGCAGAGAACUCAUCGGCAGCAGCCCCCAGAGGAUAAUGUACAAGGCACGUUCUGUACAGGGAGUCUGCCAGCCUGGCCAAGAGCACCCCCAAAAGCACUUGGAAUGAGCCCAGCUACACCAAGGCUUCCCUCAACCCCUCAAAGCAGCAAGAUUUAUGCAAGCCUCCUGUGACAGCAGAGCUUCUGUCCCAUCAGUAGCCUUAUCAAAUCUGUCCUAUAGCCCCAUCAGACCUGAGCGAACACCUGCUUUCCAGAUGUACAGACGCCAAGAGGAAUCUGAGACCAGAGUGGUGAAGUGAUUUACCCAACAUUGUCUACCUGGGUGUCAGCACAGCCUGAGCUCAGACUUCCCUGCGUGGUUCCAUCGUUUAGUCAACAAAUAUUUAUUGAUUGCCUACAACAUCACACAGACCAUUUAGAGAUUGGAUCUCGCUAUGCUGCCAAGGCUGGUUGCAAACUCCUGGCCUCAAGUGAUCCUCCCACCUUGACCUCCCAAUGUGCUGUGAUUAUAGGUGUGCAUCACUGCACCUGGCAUUGAUUCAGUAGACUUUGAAUAAAGCAGAUUAUUCCCCAAAAUGUGAGUGGGCCUCAUUCAAUCGGUUGACAACAUUGAGAAAAAAAAAGGUCCCUCAAGGAAGAAGUUCUGCCUCCAGACAAUCUUCAGGCU